rnacentral:rRNA from 1 species
GACGUAGGGCGCGAGCGUUGUCCGGAUUUAUUGGGCGUAAAGAGCUCGUAGGCGGCUUGUCGCGUCGAAUGUGAAAUCUCAGGGCUCAACUCUGACAUUGCAUUCGAUACGGGCAGACUGGAGUACUGCAGGGGAGACUGGAAUUCCUGGUGUAGCGGUGGAAUGCGCAGAUAUCAGGAGGAACACCGGUGGCGAAGGCGGGUCUCUGGGCCGAUACUGACGCUGGAGGAGCGAAAGCGUGGGGAGCGAACAGG